ACGCACGCUGGCGGCAUGCCUAACACAUGCAGGUCGAACGAGACCUUCGGGUCUAGUGGCGCACGGGUGCGUAACGCGUGGGAACCUGCCCUUAGGUUCGGAAUAACUCCCCGAAAGGGGUGCUAAUACCGGAUAAUGUCUUCGGACCAAAGAUUUAUCGCCUUUGGAUGGGCCCGCGUUGGAUUAGCUAGUUGGUAGGGUAAAAGCCUACCAAGGCGACGAUCCAUAGCUGGUCUGAGAGGAUGAUCAGCCACACUGGGACUGAGACACGGCCCAGACUCCUACGGGAGGCAGCAGUGGGGAAUAUUGGACAAUGGGCGAAAGCCUGAUCCAGCAAUGCCGCGUGAGUGAUGAAGGCCUUAGGGUUGUAAAGCUCUUUUACCCGGGAUGAUAAUGACAGUACCGGGAGAAUAAGCUCCGACUAACUCCGUG
rnacentral:rRNA from 1 species